rfam:Picea glauca, whole genome shotgun sequence.
UCGUGUAAUGAUUCCUACAACGUUAAUGCAUUGGAUCCCAUCAGAACUCCACAAUUAAGCACGCUUGGGCUAGAGUAGUACUGGGAUGGGUGACCUCCCGGGAAGUCCUAGUGUUUUACAUGGC